GACGGCGAAGGUGAUACUGAUGCUUUAAGCAAUGCCUAGAAACCCUUCGGAGUCUGCAGACUUCCAUGACAAGAUAGGGUAUGCAAUGUCUUUGAGCCCGCUUGCCCCCAUGCAAGGGGAUGUAUUCUUUCAAGAAUUGGAAAAAGGAAUGAUUUUCCUCUAUGGAUUUGAUUUAACGAAGAAUAAAGUUUCAAUCUUUAAGGGUUUAC